ACUCAGCACCCCAGCGCGUAGGUUGUGAUUCGGACCGUGUUUGAGUCAGUCUACAAUUUCUAGGCACUGGAUUCGUAGGAUCUGACGGGUGGGACGAGAAAUGAAAUCAGCAUGGAGUCUGACUGCUUGAUAGAUAGCAGCUUAUCUUUUAUUUAUGGACAUUUGGAAUUAUGUAAUAAAUCAGUACAUUUUAGUUGAUUUAGUUUGAAUACAUUAAUUAUGGAUUUA